rnacentral:rRNA from 1 species
CAGCCGCCGCGGUAAUACAGAGGGUGCGAGCGUUAAUCGGAUUUACUGGGGUAAAGCGUGCGUAGGCGGCUUUUUAAGUCGGAUGUGAAAUCCCUGAGCUUAACUUAGGAAUUGCAUUCGAUACUGGGAAGCUAGAGUAUGGGAGAGGAUGGUAGAAUUCCAGGUGUAGCGGUGAAAUGCGUAGAGAUCUGGAGGAAUACCGAUGGCGAAGGCAGCCAUCUGGCCUAAUACUGACGCUGAGGUACGAAAGCAUGGGGAGCAAACAGGAUUAGAUACCCCCGUAGUCCCUGUCUUUUAUACA